UGUUGGAAUUAUUCGAAACAGCACAGCGCGUUAAAAUAAGGCUAGUCCGUAUUCAGCUUGAAAAAGUGAGCACCGAUUCGGUGCUUUUUUA
rnacentral:sRNA from 1 species